rnacentral:rRNA from 1 species
CGACCGCUGGCGGCAGGCCUACCACAUGCAAGUCGACCGAACUCUUCGGAGUUAGUGGCGGACGGGUGAGUAACACGUGGGAACGUGCCUUUUGGUUCGGAAUAACUCAGGGAAACUUGUGCUAAUACCGAAUGUGCCCUUCGGGGGAAAGAUUUAUCGCCAUUAGAGCGGCCCGCGUCUGAUUAGCUAGUUGGUGAGGUAACGGCUCACCAAGGCGACGAUCAGUAGCUGGUCUGAGAGGAUGACCAGCCACACUGGGACUGAGACACGGCCCAGACUCCUACGGGAGGCAGCAGUGGGGAAUCUUGCGCAAUGGGCGAAAGCCUGACGCAGCCAUGCCGCGUGAAUGAUGAAGGUCUUAGGAUUGUAAAAUUCUUUCACCGGGGACGAUAAUGACGGUACCCGGAGAAGAAGCCCCGGCUAACUUCGUG